AUUGAACGCUGGCGGCAUGCCUUACACAUGCAAGUCGAACGGCAGCACGGGUGCUUGCACCUGGUGGCGAGUGGCGAACGGGUGAGUAAUACAUCGGAACAUGUCCUGUAGUGGGAGAUAGCCCGGCGAAAGCCGGAUUAAUACCGCAUACGAUCCACGGAUGAAAGCGGGGGACCUUCGGGCCUCGCGCUAUAGGGUUGGCCGAUGGCUGAUUAGCUAGUUGGUGGGGUAAAGGCCUACCAAGGCGACGAUCAGUAGCUGGUCUGAGAGGACGACCAGCCACACUGGGACUGAGACACGGCCCAGACUCCUACGGGAGGCAGCAGUGGGGAAUUUUGGACAAUGGGCGAAAGCCUGAUCCAGCAAUGCCGCGUGUGUGAAGAAGGCCUUCGGGUUGUAAAGCACUUUUGUCCGGAAAGAAAUCCUUGACUCUAAUACAGUCGGGGGAUGACGGUACCGGAAGAAUAAGCACCGGCUAACUACGUG
rnacentral:rRNA from 1 species